GAAACAUUUAUGCACAGUGAGAACAUACAAAACUCUACAGAGACAGCAGGAUCAAGCCCGGAGCUGUGAGGUGGCAAUGCUACCAUCCAUCCAUCCAUCUUCGGUACUGCUUAUCCUUCACAGGGUCGCAGGGAGCCUGGAGUAUAUCCCAGGAAGCUUGGGGCACAAGGCGGAAGACACUCUGGACAAGUGCUGAAGGACUACAGCACUGUGGGAUGGAGUGCUGUCCCUGCCCUGAUCCAACUCAAAAACAUACUGUGCUGUGAAAAAGUAUUUGCCCCAUCCUGAGUUCUUCUGUUUUUGUGUACAUCUCAUACUAAAUUGUUUCAGAAAUUAAAACAAAAUCUAAGAUAAAACAAAGGCAGCCUGAGUAAACAUAAAAUACAGUGCUUAAAUAAAAAUGUUAUUUAUUUUAGCAAAAAAAAGUUAUCCAAUACCAACUGGGCCUGUGUGAAAAUGUAUUUGCCCCAUAGUUACUAAUUCCCAAAUCUAUGAAACCUCAUUCGUAAUGGGGUUCAGCUGGACUAGACGCAACCAGCAAGCCUGAUUACUGCAAACCCUGUUCAAUCAAAUCAACACUUAAAUAGAACUUUUUCAACAGCCGACCUUCCAAAAUUCCUCCAUGAGCACAGCAACUACUGACGCAAGUCACAAAAGAGCCAAGGACAACCUCAAAUGACUUACAGGUGUCUGUUGCAUCAAUAAGGGUCAGUGACUACGUUUACAUGGACAGCAGUAAUCUAAUUAUUGACCUUAUUCUGAAUAAAACAAUAUUGCAAUUAAGGUGUUUACAUGAGUCGCUUUUAGAAUACUCCUUUCAUGUUCCCAUUUUGCACGUUACAGAACAUAGAUCGAUUAACGGCAUACGUCAUUGUCAC
ensembl:lncRNA